rnacentral:rRNA from 1 species
GCUUAAGGGUGCGUAGGCGGCUAUUCAAGUCAGAUGUGAAAUGCCUGAGCUCAACUGAGGCAUUGCGUUUGAAACUGAUUUGCUAGAGUGUCCUAGGGGUGUGCGGAACUGCCAGUGKAACGGUGAAAUGCGUUGAUAUUGGCAGGAACACCGGAGGCGAAGGCGGCWCACUGGGGCAUAACUGACGCUGAGGCACGAAAGCCAGGGGAGCGAACGGGAUUAGAUACCCCGGUAGUCUUGGCCGUAAACGAUGAGUACUGGGCGGGAGGGGGUUUCCCCUUUCUGCCGUAGCGAAAGCGUUAAGUACUCCGCCUGGGGAGUAUGGUCCCCAGGCUGAAACUCAAAGGAAUUGGCGGGGGAGCACAACA